rnacentral:SRP_RNA from 1 species
UGCCGGUCCCCGCGCAAUGACAGGUUAUGAACCCCGCCAGGCCCGGAAGGGAGCAACGGUAGUAACUGACGCAUGUGCCGCGGUGUGGCUGGCAAGG